rnacentral:rRNA from 1 species
UUAAAUUGAAGAGUUUGAUCAUGGCUCAGAUUGAACGCUGGCGGCAGGCCUAACACAUGCAAGUCGAACGGUAACAGGAAGCAGCUUGCUGCUUCGCUGACGAGUGGCGGACGGGUGAGUAAUGUCUGGGAAACUGCCUGAUGGAGGGGGAUAACUACUGGAAACGGUAGCUAAUACCGCAUAACGUCGAAAGACCAAAGAGGGGGACCU